UACGGGGGGUGCAAGCGUUAUUCGGAAUCAUUGGGCGUAAAGAGCGCGUAGGCGGUCUUCUAUGUCAGGUGUGAAAGCCCGGGGCUCAACCUCGGAAGUGCACUUGAAACUGGGAGACUUGAGUAUGGGAGAGGGAAGUGGAAUUCCUGGUGUAGCGGUGAAAUGCGUAGAUAUCAGGAGGAACACCGGUGGCGAAGGCGACUUCCUGGACCAAUACUGACGCUGAGGCGCGAAGGCGUGGGGAGCAAACAGG
rnacentral:rRNA from 1 species